CCCUGACAGCCGCAUUCUGUGGCUGACUUAACCCCGACAGGAGAUUCUUAUG
rnacentral:ncRNA from 1 species